rnacentral:lncRNA from 1 species
CUGCCCGUUCUCAGAUCUCCAGCUGCAUACUGGGAGAACCACUGCUCUCUUCAAAGCUGUCAGACAGGGACAUUUAAGUCUGCAGAGGUUACUGCUGUCUUUUUGUUUGUCUGUGCCCUGCCCCCAGAGGUGGAGCCUACAGAGGCAGGCAGGCCUCCUUGAGCUGUGGUGGGCUCCGCCCAGUUCGAGCUUCCCAGCUGCUUUGUUUACCUAAUCAAGCCUGGGCAAUGGCGGGCGCCCCUCCCCCAGCCUCGCUGCCGCCUUGCAGUUUGAUCUCAGACUGCUGUGCUAGCAAUCAGCGAGACUCCGUGGGCAUAGGACCCUCCAAGUCAGGUGCGGGAUAUAAUCUCGUGGUGCUCCAUUUUUUAAGCCCGUCGGAAAAGCGCAGUAUUUGGGUGGGAGUGACCUGAUUUUCCAGGUGCCGUCCAUCACCCCUUUCUUUGACUCAGAAAGGGAACUCCCUGACCCCUUGCGCUUCCCAAGUGAGGCAAUGCCUCGCCCUGCUUCGGCUUGCGCACGGUGCACGCACCCACUGACUUGCGCCCACUGUCUGGCACUCCCUAGAGAGAUGAAGCCGGUACCUCAGAUGGAAAUGCAGAAAUCACCCGUCUUCUGCGUCGCUCACGCUGGUUGCUGUAGACCGGAGCUGUUCCUAUUCGGCCAUCUUGGCUCCUCCCGUGAGAUUUUUAAAAACCAGAAAUGAAGGGAGCAGGUAGGAUGCCAGGAUGGGACUCGCAUCUGCUCUGGUUGAUGAGGCGCUGUGAGGAUGGCAGGGAAUGUUCUUCCCUCAGGAGGUGAGGAGAAGGUCUCUCACUCCCACAGCUUCUUCUGGUACUUUCUGGUAGAUUAGCCCAAGACCCCUGCUUUCGAUGAGAAAACCGAAGCACAAAGGCGCUAAGUAAAUUGCGCACCCACACAUAGCUAAGAAGCGGCAGAGCUGGACGAAACCUCUGCACUCACCACUUCCGUGGCUGUGCUUUGUUUCACGAGGUGAGACAAAUCAGCUGAGGAAGUAGAACAUAGGCCCUAAUGACUAACAAGCCUAUGAAAAGCAAGUCCCGCUUCUGAUGGGGAAGCCUUAGGGGAGAAGGACCAGUGACUGGCAGACCCUCACUUGGGACAAGAACUAAUGCUGGGGUAAGACCCACCAGAAGAUUGAGUCCUGAGCACAGACACAACCCGGUGUUUGUUCUGAGAAGCUUCUGAACUAAGGCUGAGUCAGAAAAAGCCAAUGGAGAAGGCAAGAGAUACAGAGGAAACAGGGAUAACCAGCUGGCUGUGCAGAAAGCUGAAGAAGGAGUCCAGGGUGGCGGCAAUGGGCUGGGACACAGAGGGAGGAGCAGUGUCCUUGUUUUGUUACUGUUGUAACCCAAAUCAAGGAGGCCCCUUCAGGAAGUGACAGCCUCCAACCAUGUCCAAUCCUUCUGCUUAGAAAGGGAUUCUUCUUUACGUGACCCUGGUCAUGCAACUAGUGAUGGGGUAGGGAUGUGCUGCCUGGUAGCCUUUACCGCAAGCAAAGCCAUUUACAUUUGGAUCCCUCUACAUUUUCAGCUCCACUUCUCAACCUCCCUAACCACACAAUGGCAUCCAAACCAUGCCAUUCACUUCCCCUGGAAGCCUCCAUGCCUGUGGUGGUGCUAUAGCUUCUGCCUCCACCCCUUUUCAGCUCAACAAGCUCCCCGUCACAUUGCGAGUCCUUGCCCAAACUGCAGAUCCUCUAAGAAAUCUUUCUGCCCCUUAUUUGCGCCUUCCUCUGCUCUCUUUCAGAUUUUGCAUUUGUCUCCCUUGGUAACCUAAAAAGGGAAAUUCUUUACUUUUCAUCUCAGUGUUUGUUGAGUUCAUAGUAAGCACUUGGUAAAUAUUGAAGAAGUGAACAAACAAAUAAAUGUCCUUUGAAGGAAUGCAGAUGGAGCUGGAGGCCAUUAUCCUUAGCAAACUAAUGCAGGAAGAGAAAAUCAAAUAUUGCGUGUUCUCAUUUGUAAGUGGGAGCUAAAUAAUAAGAACACAUAAACACUUAGUGGGGAGCAAUAGACACAGGGGCCUACUAGAGGGUGGAGGGUGGGAGGAGGGAGAGGAUCCAGAAAAAUAACUAAUAGACACUAGGCUUAAUACCUGGGUGACAAAACAAUCUGCACAACGAAUCCCCAUGACAAGAGUGUGCCUACAUAACAAACCUGCACAGGUACCCCUGAACUUGAAAGUUUAAAAAAAAAAUUAAAAAACCACAAAUAAAUGUCUGAAAUGCUUUAAUUAGUUCUUGUCUUCACUGGUUUGCUUUUACUGCCUGGAACUAGCAAAGGGUUAGCAGAGCUAUGAAAUGACUGUGUCACUUGCCUGUUUGUCUGGAAUCCCUUCACCACCACGUAUUAGCUGUCUGGAGAAAUCACUUAACCUUUGAACCCCAUUGUGUUUCCUCCACUGUAAAUCAGGGCAUAUAGCCCCCAUCCUGCAGCAUCUUUGUGAAGAAUCAGUGGCUAAGGAAUGCUGUGUGCUGGGUUCCAUGCCGCCAUAUUCAGUAUCAGCCAGGAAGUGGUAGAUGGUGGUGGUGGUGGUGGUGGUGAUUUAAAAAAAGAGUCAGUCUGUUGCAUUAUUUUCCUUUGCAAAAAGGUUAUUUAUUGAAAAAGUGAUUGUUGUGGGUUGAAUUGUGUCUCCCAAAAAGAUACGUUGAGUCUUAACCCUCUGUACUGUUAACAUGACCUCAUUUGGAAAUAGGGUCCUUGUAGAUGUUAUCAGAUUAGGAUGGGAUUAUACUGGAUGAGAGUGGCUCCUAAUUUAAUAGUAUUGUUAUAAGAAGAAACAAUUUUGAACACAGAGACACAGACACAGGGAGAACACCAGAUGUUGAUGGGGGCAGAAACUGAAGGGACACAUCUAAAAGCUGAGACAUGGUGAAGAAUGCCACCAAUGGCCAGAAGCCAGGAAGAGAUGAGGAAGAAUCCUGUCCUAAAAUCAUCAGAGGGAGUGUGUCCCCGAUGAUGCCUCGAUUUCAGAACUUCUAGCCUCCAGAACUAUGAGACAACGCAUUUCUCUUCUUUCAAGCCAUAUAGUUUGUGGUCUCGUGUUACGGCAGACCCAGAAACUAAUAAUUCUGUGGACUUGUGCUUCUAAAUAGAAAAUACAAACUUAUAAAUCUUUCUCAUAAAUCAUCUGAGAAGUUAGAGGCAUCUAGGAUUAAGGAGGAAAAUCCUGGUCUAUAUGUUGAGAAAAGAGGAAAAGAAGCCAAAAGACUCCAAUACAACAUGUGGAAUUUAGCAAAAUCAACAUUUGAGAUACUUUUUCAACAAUCCCGUUUCUUAACUGAGAUUUUAUUGUUGGGUUCAUAAAUUAAUUUAACAAGCAUGUUUCACCUGCAGAGAGCCGGGGUGGCCACGCUGGGAAGAGUAUGGACUUUGGAGUUGCACAGGCUUGGGUUCAAUCCAGGCUUCCCCACUUAGCAGCCAGUGGUCUCAGGCAAGUUACUUGACCUACAUGAGCCUCAGCCUCCUUCCGUGCCCAUCUCCGGGUUUGCUGUGUGGAGUCAAUAGUUGAUAUUUGUGAUAAGUGCAGCAAAGCACUGCCUGUGGGUAUGAUGCAAUCUGCUCCCAAUGUAUAUAUCCAAAGGAAACAUCUGUCCUCAACAGAAAUCAGAGCAAUCCCCAACACUUAAAGAGCAGACAUUCAUGCAGGUGGAUGAAGCAGAACCAGAGACACUUGAGCUUGACUGAAAGAAGGAGAAAGUUGCAUCAUGCUUAGAGCAGGAGUUUUCAAGAGAAGUGUGAAAAAAACACAACCCUGACAUCCACCUUGGACAGAUAUAACAGGACACGUGUUUCUCAUGUGAAGAGAUUCUUUAUUUGAUUUUCAUCACCUUUCAAUGAAAGAGUGGGUCCUGUCAGCACUACGUAAAAUAUAUAUCUUAA